GACGAACGUUGGCGGCGUGCUUAAUACAUGCAAGUCAACUGAAGCAGUGGUAGCAAUAUCGCUGUGGAGGUGGCGCACGGGUGAGUAACACGUAGGUAAUCUGCCUUCAGGUCUGGCAUAACUCCGGGAAACCGGGGCUAAUAGCAGAUGAUGCAGCGGCUCGACGUCGAGACAGUUGUUAAAGCUAUGGCGCCUGAAGAUGAGCCUGCGUCUGAUUAGCUAGUUGGCGGGGUAACGGCCCACCAAGGCAACGAUCAGUAGCUGGUCUGAGAGGAUGAUCAGGAACACUGAAACUGAGACACGGUCCAGACGACGACGGGAGGCAGCAGUAAGGAAUAUUGCUCAAUGGGUGAAAUACUGAAGCAGCAACGCCGCGUGAGGGACGAAGAGCUUUUGCUUGUAAACCUCUGUAGUGAGAGAAAAAAAUCCCAAUCUUUGGGACAUGAUGGUAUCUCAAAAGUAAGCCCCGGCUAACUACGUG
rnacentral:rRNA from 1 species